UUCAGGUGUGCAGCGGUGGAGCUUCCUGUCCUCCGCUCCCUGCUUGCUUCCGUGGUGGCUGUGGUUUGGCAUGACGGCGUUGGUGGACGCAGCCAUUCUCUGGUGUAUCCAGCUGUUGUGAUUGCCGUCAAGGCAUGCUGUCUGAAUACCGUGGCUGAGUGCUGGGGUGAAUUCCCCGGGGUGAAGCGGGGAUCUGCUGGAGCCCUGCUGGGCAUAGGAUCACAGGCUCGCUCUGGGUGUGUGCGCGUGUGUGUGAGCCGUAUUCUUGUGGCUCACACCCUCCAGUUGCCAGUUAACAGCCCGACAUAAUCUGACCGCCACCAUCACUUCAAGCUGAGCUGCUGUUUUGGUUCUCUUUAAUAUUUGUUUGGUGAACUGUUUGUGUUUUUGGUUUUGUUUGUUUGCGGCGACUUGGAGCGGACUUCUCAGCCCAGUACGGCUGAGUGCCGUCUGCGUCCGCUCCGUGCAGAGGCUGGUUGUGUUGCUGCUGUGCCAGAACUUGUACAGCUGCAAGGGCUACUUCACUGGAUGGUGUUUUGUUUUCUUUGUUAUUUGGAAAUUAAUUCAGGUAUUUCCUUUUGGUGUCUUGGUUUGCUUUGUUGCAUUAGUUUAAUUGUGUUUUUGUUAUUUUCUUUGUGAGUUUAUUUAGCCUUAUGUAUUGAUUUAAUUAAUCAUUUAUUGUUCUUUGAUUUUGUUUUCUUUUGUCCACACCAGUUAUGGUUAGUUUGGGCACAUUUUAUUAAUCUUUGUCUCUGUCUUCUGUGUAUAGGUGCUGUGGCUUACUGCGGCAGUUAUUUCCUGCUGGUGGUGUCUUCUUCACGGUCCCCCCCUUUCUUUUGGUUUUGUGUGUCUGUGUGUUAUUUGCAGUGUCACGGGUGAUUCAUUUGAGGAUUCCUCUCCCCUUUUUGGUUAUCCUGCCGCAGGGUAAGCCCCAGCCCGGGUUUUUAUUCCUUAUUGGCCAUUCUUUCUUUUAGUUAGUAUAUGUUAACUGGUGUGUGACAUUAUUUCCUUCCUUACAAAUUGUUAAUAAACAUUGUUAAAUUGGAACACAUCUCGCCCCCCUGUGUUAAUGGAACCUGAUGAGCCUUAAUUGGUUUAGUGACAGUGAAACACACCUGAGCUAGGAUUUCCUGGGUGCAAGUCCCAGGUGGCGUUGUUGGGACCAUAAUUGGUCUAAGUGGCUACAAACAUUCCUUGAAUUUCGCCACAUAAAUAUUUCUUAUGUUAAAUACAAUAAAGAUGAACAAUGUCUGAUGGAUGUAAUACUGAAAA